ACCAGGCCCAUUCGGGAUUUGUGUGAAGGGAAAAUGGAUCUCAUAAUCACAUAGAACACGUGCAAAACAUGUUUCACGUUUUCCACAUGCCUCCCCACUCAGUCAGACUUCCUCUCUCAUCUCUCUCCCUCCACCGCACUAAAGCUCACCCCUGACGGCGGUGGAGCAUCAAAUAUCAAAAUUACAUAUGCCAAAAUGUUCUAUUUCUCAAGCUCUACCAGAAACUACCAUCAAUUUUACCUGAAUCUCCAUAAAUUCUCCAGAUCGAGCAAGAACAAGC
rnacentral:lncRNA from 1 species